ACCACAGCGCGGCUGGCCAAGAAGUGCCAUGUCCACACCCGGGAUCCGAACCAGCAAACCCUGGGCCCUCCGAGCAGAACAUGCGAACUUAACUGCUGCGCCACCGGCCGGCCCUCACCAAAACUUCUGAUGAGCCCUUAGCCCCAGGAAAUAUCUGAAUUGCAGACUGGUGUGAUCCUAAGCAGAAAACCCAGGUCUGCCAAGAGGAAUUGUACUUCAAGGAACAGUGUUUAAUGAAUUGAGGUAAUCUCCCCUUAUCCGUGGUUUUGCUUUCUGCGAUUUCAGUUACCCACUGUCAACUGUGAUUGAAAAUAUUAAAUGGAAAAUUACAUGGGCUGGC